rnacentral:lncRNA from 1 species
UAAAUUGAAGGAAAUUCAAAAAAAAUUUUAUUUCCAGGUAUUUUUCAACCUUCUACGAGAAAAAAAAAAUGAUAGACUGUGUAGCAGACAUGGGACUGGGGAGAAUGUGUGUGUGUGUGUGUGUGUGUGUGUGUGUGUGUGUGUGAAAGAGAGAGAGAGAGAGAUGUCCGUUUAUGUGUUACGUAUGAGAAAGAGAGAGAGACAGCUUGUGUCUGUGAGGGGGAAAGAGAGAAUGUACCUUUGUGAGAGAGGAUGUCGUCUGUUUAUGUGUUAUGUAUGAGAGAGAGAGAGAGAGAGGCGGCUUAUUUGUGUGUGAGAGAGAGAGGAUAUUGUCUGUUUAUGUGAGAGAGAAAGAAAGAAAGAGAGAGGAUGUCGUCGGUUUAUGUGAGAGAGAAAGAAAGAAAGAAAGAGAGGAUGUCGUCUGUUUAUGUGAGAGAGAAAGAAAGAAAGAGAGAGGAUGUAGUCUGUUUUUGUGAGAGAGAGAAAGAAAGAGAGAGAGGAUGUCGUCUGUUUAUGUGAGAGAAAGAAAAGGUCCAUUUAUGUAGUUUGUGUGUGAGAGGGGGGUUUGUGUGGGUGAGAGGGAGAGAGAGAAUGUGUUUGUGAGAGAGGAUGUCGUCUGUUUGUGUGUGAAACAGAGAGAGGAGGAAGAGAGUCUUGUCUAUAUGAGUGAGAGAGAGAGAGAGGGAGAGGAAGAGAGAAGUUGUAUCCGAAAUAUGUGUAAGAGAAGGAUUGUGUGAAGUGUGCGGGUAACAUGUUGCGGAUAGUGUGUGUGUGUGUAUGUGAGUCAAACUAGUGUAUGUGUAUGUGUUAGAGUGAAAUAUGUACGAGUUUAUAUUAUGUAAAUGUGUGCAUGAGAAGAAAGAAGGAAAGAAAGAAGCAAGAUAGAGACAUAGAUAAGUAUUUGGUGAUGUCAGGUUUGGACUGUUUUGAGAGAAGGAGAGCGUGAGAAUGGAUGAACGUUUGCUACUCACAAGAGACCAUUUUGAAUAAAAGUUUUUAUUUGUAAAUUCUAAAACAGACAAAACACGUGGUUUCUUUUUUUUUUUUCUCUUUUCUUUUCUUUUACCAUCUAUUUUAUUUAUAUUCUAGUUGCCAAGGGUACUCUGCUUCUUCCGUCUGUCCCAACUCGUUGCCAUAGUAACUGAGAGACAAACACAAACUACGUCACACACACAAACAACUGUAUUGGGUGGGAGGAGGGGGUGGGGACAGGCGUGGUCAAUCGGUAUUUUUCUUCAACUCGUUGCUAUAGUAAUGGAGAACCACCAGAUUAAAUUAUCAAUCAUCAUCAUCAUCAUCAUCAUCAUGUUUUGCAGAGAGUAUGAAUGAAGGAAAAAAAAAAUUAAUAAACUGUUACUAUAGUGACUCAUGCAAACAACACAACCGAUAUCGAUACAGCCAACAAGGGAGCCUCUACGCAAGAAAUAGCAGCCAAACCUGCCUUAAAUCACACAUUACUGUCUUGAGAAAACAAGGACUCAGUCAAUGUAGCACUUAGAUACACAAUGCAUGAAUAUAAAAUGGGAUGGUCAUGACUGGAAUGCCUGUGAUUAUAUAGGUCUGCUGGUUCAGGGAUAGUGAGGUAUAAGGUGUUAAACAGUAAGUUGCUUACAUAAUUACAAAAGGCAGAUUACAAGGCAUUCAUGCCUUGUCCAAGUAAAGAAAUUAUAAAAUGAGAUAUCCACAAAUUUACACAGAAGGUGAAUGGAGGUGUGGGGUGGGGGUCAUUAAUAAUUUCAAAUUUUGACAAAAGGCCAGCAGUGUUUUUGAGGGGAAGGGCUAAGUUGAUUACAUUGGCCCCCAGUGCACAACUGGUACUUAUUUUAUCAACAGUGAGAAGAUGAAAGGCAAAGUUGACUCUGACGAAAUUUGAACAACAAAAUGUAAAGACACACAAAAUACGGUUAAUUACUCUGCUCAGCAAGCUAACGAACGUGCCAGCUCGCUGCCCUUAAUAAUAAUAAUAAUAAUAAUAAUAAUAAUCUUUUCCACUAUAGGCACAAGGCCUGAAAUUUUAGGGGAGGGGGCUAGUCGAUUCAAUCGGUACUUAUUUUAUUGACCCUUAAGCGAUGAAAGGCAAAGUCGACCCCAAUGGAAUUUGAACUCGGAUGAAUUGCUGCUAAGCAUUUCACCCAGCAUGCUAACAAUUCUGCCAGCUCACGGCCUUAAUAAUAAUAAUAAUCCUUUCUACUAAAGGCACAAGGCCAGAAAUUUGAGGGGAAGAGACUAGUUUGAUAUCGACCCCAGUGCUUCACUGGUACUUAAUUUAUCAACCCUCAAAAGGAUGAAAGGCAAAGUCCACCUCAGCAGAAUUUGAACUUAGAACGUAAAGACAGACGAAAU